rnacentral:lncRNA from 1 species
CGAUUCUGUCCUUUUCAUAAGGUACGGAAUAUUUGAAUUAAAAGCAUAGUUGGUUAAGCUUAACUGAACAUGUUUGGAAACAAAAAAGUGAGUUUCACUUGUUUUUAAGCUUAGCCAAACAUUCUCUCUGUUUGUGCUUAGCGUUAUCCUUGUCACUGAACUGCAAAAGUGUGAUAUAGAGACGAAAAGUCACAUCUUCUCUUGGGUAUAAGACAUGCUACCAGACAGCAGCCUGCUAUCUCCUCGUCUGUCAUAUCUAGUGACAGCAUGCACAUGGGAGUUCUUGCAGCUGCAGCUCAUGCGGCUGGGAACAACAGCCCAUUUAAGAUAUUCUACAACCCAAGGUAGUCGAACUAAUACCUUUUUCAACUGUUAAAGUACACUGGAUUAACUUUGUGAAAUUUUUUGAUUCCCUGAUGAAACCUAAACUUUUACAGGGCUAGCCCUUCUGAAUUUGUUAUUCCUCUUGCAAAGUAUAACAAAGGAAUGUAUACCCAAGUUUCAUUAGGUAUGCGUUUCAGGAUGAUGUUUGAGACUGAGGAAUCCGGAGUCCGCAGGUACAUGGGUACCAUUACUGGCAUUGGUGAUUUGGACCCAGUGCGAUGGAAAAAUUCACAGUGGCGUAACCUUCAGGUACUGGUUUUCUCUUUUCAUUUUGCUGAAAGUCUUCAACAUUUAUCUUUAGUGUGUAUGAUCAUGAACAUUUAGAACUUCGUGAUCGCUGUUCUACUCUCUUGGAAACUAAAUUUUUCCACUGCCCACCUAGGAUAUAACUCGACUGGUUGGUAAAUAUGUUGUCUAUAAUCAGUUUUUAGGCUAGCUUCUCUCAGUUUACCAUGCUAAAAGCUGCAUCUCAUUUUUGGUUUUGGCUUUUCUCCAAAUAUGUGCAUUGUAUCUUUCCAAUUUUUAUGUUUUCCUCUGCCGUAAUUGACCUUCAUUAAUUUCUAAUCAUGGUUUAGAUGUAUCCAAAAGAUUUAUCCUUGAUAUAUUCUACUACAAACGUCUUUUCCUCGAAACUUAUUCGAUUUCUAGAUCUCAUAAUCAAUUAUCAUUACUUUCGUUAGGUUGGAUGGGAUGAAUCUACUGCUGGGGAACGUCCUAGUCGAGUAUCAAUUUGGGAAAUCGAACCUAUUGUGACUCCCUUCUAUAUUUGUCCACCACCAUUUUUCAGACCUAAGUUUUCGAAACAACCAGGUUUCCCAGGUAAUCCAAGUUGACCACUUAUCUAUCUUUUAUUAUUCUGGGAUGUCAAACAGCUAUAAGUUACAAAUUUGUAUUAGUUUUAUUUGGUGUGUUUGUGGGAGACUGAAUGUGUCCAUAAGUUUUUGUUGAAAUUGCAAUAAUUUGUUGCAAAUGUUCAAAUUUUCCUCAAACUCGUGUUUUUACAGAUGAUGAUUCCGAUAUAGAGAAUAUUUUCAAGAGAGGCAUGCCCUUGAUUGGAGAGGACUAUGGUUUAAAAGAUACCUCAAGCUUCAUAUUCCCCGGGAUGAGUUUAGUUCAGUGGAUGAACAUGCAGCAGAAUCAACAGUUCACAGCUAAUCAGUCUGGACUUUUCCCGGACGGGCUCUCUUCAACUAACCUACACGGUAACCUUGGAACUGACGACUGCUCCAAGCUGUUGAAUUUCCAAUCCCCGGCCUUUGCUUCCCAAAAUCUCCAACUCAGCAAAAUCAAUCAACAAGUUGGACAACUUCAACAGCAGCCGUCUUCUGCGUGGCCCCAACAGCAGCCGCUGCAGCAAAUGUUAACGUCUUCUAUAAACCCUAUAAAUAAUGGUGUAGCUCCUGACCAGAAUCCAUAUCAAAAUUCACAGCAAACAGCAAUUAUCUCCCAACAACUUCAGCAACAACAGUUAAUAAGAGGCAAUACACAAAUGCAGCAAAAUGUUCCCUCAGCAAACAAAAGUACAGUACCCAUGAUAUCUUUACCUCAGGACACUCAGUUUCAGCAACAUAUUGAACAACCAUCUAGCCUUGUGCAGAGGCCCCAGCAACAGCAGACAGAAAUGCAACAAACUCGGCCACAAUUUCCGCAGCCAAUCUCAAUACAAAAGCCACAAGGGAAACAGACAUCACAACAGAGUAUUUCGGAACAUCAGCUGCAAAUGCAGAUUCUCCAGAAACAUCAGCAGCAACAGCAGCUGCAACAGGUGCCGUCCCCUGUAAGUUCUUUUUUGGAGCCUCCGUUUUCCCAACAACAACAGGCUCUUCAACAAAACCAGCAAGCUCAGCAUUUCAGCAGCACCGGCUUUUCAGCAUCAACACUUGUGCAAUCACCACAAUUUCCUGUCAACCAACUCUACAGCCAGCAAAAGUCUACGUUCACUGUCAAAUCACAUUCCGAACCAGCUGAUGCGGCUGGCCCAUCAUGUUCAAUCGCACCUUGUACAAACAAUAUGCAAGCUUCGCUGUCGAACUUUCUGAACAGAAAUCAAUUGGGAUCAGCUGCAUUACUUGAUAAUUCGGUUAUUCAUCCUGUUCCUAGUUUAGCUCCAGAGUCUCAUAGCAAGGCUGAUAUCCUAAUAAAAAGUGAUUUACCUAGUUAUAAAGGACCGAAGCAGCCUAAAUACCGAAAUACAGCUAAAGAUCACUUGGAUGCAGCUUCAAGCGCAACAUCGUAUUGCUUGGAUGCUAGUGGGCGGCAGAACUUUUCUCUUGCUGGCUUGGAUGGUGACAUUCAAUCACAUCCCCAGAGCAGUCUUCCUUUCACAAGCAGUAUUGAUGGAUUGACACCUGAUGCUUUGUUGUCAAGGGGUUGUGAUUCCGGGAAGGAUAUCCAAAACUUGCUCUCUAAUUACAGUGGUAAUCCAAGGGAUAAUGAAACAGAAUUUUGCUCUGCUGGAAUCAAUUCUCAAACAUUUGGGUUGCCAAAGAUGUCAUUUAACGCCAGUUGUUCAAAUGAUGCUGGGAUCAAUGAGGCUGGUGUUUUAAAUAGUGGGUUGUGGCCAAACCAGAUUCAGCGUAUGCGAACAUACACAAAGGUCUCUCUCUCUCUCUCUCUCUCAAACACACUGUUACACACACACGCACACUCUUCAAACUGGUCACCUGCCAAGUUCCCCCGCCACAAAAAUAGAAAAAUGAAAAAAAAUUACAGCAUAAUAGAAUCCAUCUACAUUCUCUUUGAGAACACUUACACGAAGGAACCGUAAUAUGAAAUAAAUUUUAUCUAAUUUCUUUCCCUCUUCGUUUGGAGACAGCCUGAUUACUAGAAAUUAUGCAGGUUCAAAAACGUGGCUCUGUGGGUAGAACUAUUGAUGUCACUCGUUACAAGGGGUACGAUGAACUUAGGCAUGAUCUAGCCCGUAUGUUUGGUAUCAAUGGACUACUUGAAGAUCCACAACGAUCUGAAUGGAAACUUGUCUACGUAGACCAUGAAAAUGACAUGUUACUUGUUGGCGAUGACGCUUGGGAGUAAGUGUUUAGCAACUGUCCUUGUUAUCUUAGUUUUUCGUUGAAAGAACACAAAAAUAACUUUGAAAAUUUUUCUCAGUGAGUUUGUGAGCUGCGUUCAGAGUAUAAAGAUACUGUCCUCUGCUGAGGUACAACAAAUGAGUUUAGAUGGAGAUUUAGCUCAGCCUCCUGCCCCAAACCAAGCACUCAGUGGAACAGACAGUGGUAAUGCUUGGAGAGGACAGUAUGAUGAUAAUUCUGCCAACUCUUUUAAUCGGUGAAAGCAUUGCAGAGAUUAACUUUUAUCAGCAGGAAAUGUUAGAAGGUAGAUGUAAAUUUCUUGUACCAUCGAAUGUUAAAAAGCUUGUCUGAAAUUUUUUGAAGUGCUUGUGCAUUCUUGUAGAAGAAUCAAGAAAACUAUAUAUACUUGACGAAACAAACAAUUUUUUAUUCAACUUUAAAAAAGGGAAAAUUCAGUCCAGUGCCAUCAUUUUCAUUCCUAAAUGGAUGCAACUCCAUAUUCUUUGCACUAAAUUACGCUAAACUGACAGUUCAAGAAAAUAUUCAUUUAGGACUGGAAUUCUUUUGUGAGAUAUCAGAAACUGGAAAAUAAGGACACAGACAAGCAGCUCUUUAAACGACUACAAAGAACAACAAAUGGUUCUCGAACUGAAAAAUCAUUACACUUUGAUUUCUUUCAUUACGCUGCAAAAAGUCGUCAUAUUGAUCCGGAUUACAACAAAUUUCUCAAGUUUCGCUUUUGCUGAACCAACUAAGAAAGGACAGCCAUGACCUCUGAAGCCCUUAGUGCUAUGUAGUUAGAACCGUCACUGCCCUUGAAAUCGUUUCCUGCAUAUUUGGAGUACAAAACUGUGUUCCCGGGGAUAACUGACAAUGGCUUCCUGUUACCUUCCUCAUCAAGGGGGCCAGGCCCGACUGCAAUCACCUGUAAUUGAAGAUGGAAA